GAGGGAUGUGGGAGCUGGGGUAGGCAAGCCUGGUGGGAGUGCAGAUACCCACUUCUACAAGCAAACUUCAGAUAUUUUUCAAGACAGGCGCCUUCAUUUGAAUUAACGAAAGAGUCUUCAAAAUCUGAAGCCGGAAGAACCAUUGGUGUCGUUCCUCCAAGGAUAUUUCUAUUUCUAAGGAUGUUUAUGUUCAAAGAAUUUUUUUAUUAUAGGGAGUUUCAUGGGGAACUCUUCUUCUGCCAUGAAAACAAGCCCAGGCCCAUUUGGCAGAGGAUGUGAUUUCACAAAGAGCAGAGACAAGUCAUCCUGGCUGAGCCAUCUUAGACUAUCCACCUUCCAGCUAGAGGCCGGUUAAUCACAGAUGCCUGAGUGAACCCAAUUAGAUGGGCAGAAUGCAGCCAGAUCAGUGGAACUGCCCAGGGGAACAACCCAAUUGUUGUUGAUAAAGCCACUGGAUUUGGGACAAUUUGUUACACAGCUUUAUUGUGGCCGAAGAUGACUGAUAUACAUAACAAGCUGCUUAUAGUUCCUGAACACAAAUGUUCUUUCACUGAUUUUAAAGAUGCUAUUUCCUCUGCUUAGAAUAAGUCUCAUCUAAGUCCACAGUCAUUAAUAUGUCAUUCACAUUUCUAGACAUUCAUCUCCCCUAUCUUUGUCAGCCAGGGACAGUCCUACAUAAUUUUCAAGAUGUUGCAACUCAGAUGCCCCUGCCACACUCAGCAACAGUGUGAUGGGUCAAAUCUCCCUGAUUCCUCCUUCUCUCUCCCACCUCAGAGUUACUCACCCUCUCCGCUAGGCUUCUUAGCACUUGGCACCUAUUUACAUUCUAGCAAUUGUCACAUUAUAUUGCAUUUAUUUUAUUUUAUAUUUUUGUCUCCUCCACUACUGUGAGCUCCUUGAGAUGCCACCCAUUUUAGAGCAGUCAGGGCCUAAGAUAGGUCCACACAUUUUAGUUUCAUGACUGUGUUAAUUUUCUAUUAAGAGUUUGUUUCUUAUCAACGAAUCUUUAUGCUCAAAAUAAAAAUAUGGAAGGAUUAUGCAAUACAAGUCAGGACAGUAUUUAAGUUAAUUUUCAAUCGUGUGCUAACACCACACCAGCAUUAAGGAAACAAAAG
ensembl:lncRNA